AUGGAACGCAACUUGCGGACGAUGUGCGUGGAGAAGAGAUCCUGAGGAGGAGAGGAUAUUGGAUCUGAGUGCGCGAGGGAGAAGCAAAAGGAUAUUCAGAAAGUACAGUCUGCAGUAUAUACAUUGAAAUAUUGCCAAUCUCCCCGCUGCUUCUGACGAAGUAUCAAUCUCGGACUGAUUGCUCUCUUCUUGUGGUCUUACAAGACUUGAAAUAUUGGUAUGUCCCAUACAUUGUCUUAAUGCAUUAGUUUUGUUAUAUUUGCAGUGUGCACAUGACUCUUUCUUAUCUUUAUUUAUUAAUAACAAAUAAACAACAUUGUUUGUUAUCUUUACUUAUUAAUAAAAGUAAGUAGGAAUUCUGGAUAAUGACUUAUGAAUAACAAUAUGUAGAAAUUCUGAAUAAAAAAGUACAUGAGAAAUAUGGUGUCCACCUUAACAGAGCAAUAAUAAUUUUAGUUGCUG